rnacentral:rRNA from 1 species
AGCGAACGCUGGCGGUAGGCCUAACACAUGCAAGUCGAACGGCAACACAGUAACAUCUUGCUCUUACGGGUGGGGGGGGGCGGACGGGUGAGAAAACCAUCGUAACCUACUUUUUCGUGGGGGAUAACGUAGGGAAACUUACGCUAAUACCGCAUAUGCCCUACGGGUCAAAGCAGGGGAUCUUCUGACCUUUUGCGAUUGAAUGAGCGGAUGUCGGAUUCGCUCGUUGGCGGGGUAAAGGCCCACCAAGGCGCCGAUGCGUAGCUGGUCUGAGAGGAGGGUCGGCCGCACUAGAGCGGAGACACGGUCCAGACGCCUACGGGAGGCAGCAGUGGGGAAUAUUGGACAACGGGGGGAAGCAUGAUCCAGCCGUACCGCGUGGGUGAAGAAGGCCUCCGGGUUGUAAAGACCUUUUGUUGGGAAAGAAAAGCAGCAGCCUAAUACCCCGCUGGUCUGACGGUACCCAGAGAAUAAGCACCGGCUAACUUCGUG